rnacentral:rRNA from 1 species
GAGUUUGAUCAUGGCUCAGGAUGAACGCUAGCGGCAGGCCUAAUACAUGCAAGUCGGACGGGAUUGAGGAGCUUGCUUCUCAUGAGAGUGGCGCACGGGUGCGUAACACGUAUGUAACCUACCUUGUUCAGGGGGAUAGCCUCUCGAAAGAGAGAUUAAGACCGCAUAACGUUAUUGAAUGGCAUCAUUUGAUAACCAAAUAUUUAUAGGAACAAGAUGGGCAUGCGGAACAUUAGCUAGUUGGUAAGGUAACGGCUUACCAAGGCUACGAUGUUUAGGGGAUCUGAGAGGAUGACCCCCCACACUGGUACUGAGACACGGACCAGACUCCUACGGGAGGCAGCAGUAAGGAAUAUUGGUCAAUGGGCGGAAGCCUGAACCAGCCAUGCCGCGUGCAGGAAGACGGCCCUACGGGUUGUAAACUGCUUUUAUACGGGAAUAAACCUACUUAUGUAUAAGUAGCUGAAUGUACUGUAAGAAUAAGGAUCGGCUAACUCCGUGCCAGCAGCCGCGGUAAUACGGAGGAUCCAAGCGUUAUCCGGAUUUAUUGGGUUUAAAGGGUGCGUAGGUGGUUCAUUAAGUCAGGGGUGAAAGACGGCAGCUUAACUGUCGCAGUGCCUUUGAUACUGAUGAACUUGAAUGAACUAGAGGUAGGCGGAAUGUGACAAGUAGCGGUGAAAUGCAUAGAUAUGUCACAGAACACCAAUUGCGAAGGCAGCUUACUAUGGUUUGAUUGACACUGAGGCACGAAAGCGUGGGGAUCAAACAGGAUUAGAUACCCUGGUAGUCCACGCCCUAAA